AACCUCCCAUUCCCUUUCCCAUCUGACCUCAACACUGGUCUUGGUGGUUUUAAAGGAGGAAGAACACACUGAAGCUGGCCUCACAGUGAUGCAGUCUGCUGAACAUCAGGCCAGACUCAAACAUGU